UACAGAGGAUGCAAGCGUUAUCCGGAAUUAUUGGGCGUAAAGCGUCUGUAGGUGGCUUUUUAAGUCCGCCGUCAAAUCCCAGGGCUCAACUCUGGACAGGCGGUGGAAACUACCAAGCUGGAGUACGGUAGGGGCAGAGGGAAUUUCCGGUGGAGCGGUGAAAUGCGUAGAGAUCGGGAAGAACACCAGCGGCGAAAGCACUCUGCUGGGCCGACACUGACACUGAGAGACGAAAGCUAGGGGAGCGAAUGGG
rnacentral:rRNA from 1 species